GAAAUAUUUGUAAUUUUUUAAUAACAAAGUUUUCUUUGUAUUUUGUUAAUAGUUUUUUUUUCUUCAGAAUUUAACAAUUUCAAUGUGUUUUUAUUUCUUAAUUGAGGAAUUGUGAUCUUUCAAAGGUUCAUUGCCUUUGUCAUGUUUUUUAUGCUUCUUUGUCUGGAUUACACACUUGUGAAUUUUCCAGUCUUAUUUAGUGAUCUUCUUGGCAAUAAUCAUACCCAGCCGCUUAUUCCUAUUGCAUGUGCAUAUUACAGUGUUUUUGCUUAAACACAGGGUCUUUGUAUGUUGGGCAGGCACUCCACCAUUGAGCUGUAUCCAAUCCCUAAUACCAGGUGUUCUUUUGCUUUUUGACAUACACAAUAGCUCAUUAAAUGUUCUCUGAGAAAUGGGUGUAAAUAACAAUUAAAAAAGAAACCAGUUACAUAUCACCUAUAGUGUUGUGAUAUGAUUAUCUGUGCUUUGUGGUAGUAAAGUUAUCGUUUACUACCUAUAGCUAAUAGUUUACUAUCUAUAGCUAAUGGUACUAUGAUUCGUUGCCUGCAUGUGAAGAAAAUCUUUAAUUUCUGCAGGCUAGUAAAAGUAAAUAUGAAACCUUCUCUUCAUCCAUAUUCAACUCUUAGAUUCUCUUUGUGUGCCUUAGAACUCCAAAAACAAAAAACAAAACAAAACAAAAAGAAAACCUUUUUAUAAACAGUGGGACUAAGAUAAAUUGCUUAAGGAUAAUUGCUUAAAGAUAAAUGCAUUUUAGGAAAUUUGCCUUGUUUUGCCCUGGUGAUUUUUUUAGUCAACAGUUGUAAGAUAAGAGAGUGGGUGCAUUUAUUUUAACAUUCAGGAGAUACUGAUGGAGAAAAACUUAGAAGUUAAACAAGUCCUGUUUUACAGUGAUGAUAUUCUUAGAACUCUUGGAGUAGGGAAGUACUGUGAGUGCACAGGAUAUGGAAAAGCAUGUGUGCUGGGUUAUUCUCAGUCAUGGCUGGAAAUAACUGAAAUAGCGUAUGGGAGAGGCUUAGGUUUUGGAUUUAGACUUGAAUUCUGAGUAGGUUUCUUGGUUUUAUUGGAGCCUUGGCUUCCUAGUUGUAAGCCUAUCAUUUUACAGUGUGUGUGAAAAUGAAAUGAGAUAUGUCUAAAGUGUUGGAAGGUUAGCCUUUGCUCUUUGCAGUGUCUCAUUAGGGGUCUGGUUCCUUUAUAUAAAGGGAAGGAUGUUGGAGUGAAGGAUGAUGGUUCUUCUUCCUCCUUCUCCUCCUUCUCCUCCUUCUCCUCCUUCCUUCUCCUCCUCCUCCUCCUUCCUUCCCCUUCUCCCUUCCUUCCCUUUCCCCCCUCCCCCUUCCCCCUUUCCCCCUUUCCUCCUCCUUCUUGUUCUUCUAGUUCUUGUUCUUCUUCUUCUUGUUCUUGUUGUUCUUCUUAACUAUGUAGUUCUAGUUGGUCUGGGAUUUGUUAUGUAGAAGAGGCUGGCCUCAAACAAGAGAGAACCACCUGUUUCUGCCUCCUGAGUACUAGAAUUAAAGGCAUGCACCACUAUGCCAGGUUUGCUAGAAUGGUUUCCUAGUAUGGAAAGUUAUUUGAUUGGAAAGUCUACUUGUUAGAAUUACCUAGAAGUGGUAUCACAUCUUAACUUGUUAGAAGUGACUGUGAACCAUUUUGACUAUGUACUAUAUGGAAGACAUUCCCAAACAGCUAUCUUAUUACUUUAAUAGAUAUUCUGUAAAAAAGAUGAUUUCAUGGCCUUAUAGAUAAACAAGUUAGUUUCUUCACCAUUAUUAUAGAAUCCUUGGUUUAAAAAAACAAACCAAAACAAACCCCAAAAACAAACAAACAAACAAACAAAAAACCUUAAACGAGGACGGGUUUCUUGUGGGUCAAGUUUUCAGAGGUUCAGCCCAUGGUAGCCAUGCAUGAACUUGGGAAGAAUAUUAUAGCAGUGGGGGCAUGAAGGAGAGGUAAGUGAGUAGUUUUUGCCACAUGUGCGUGCCAUUAUGACAGGAAAGAGUCAGUCUCGCAAGGACCUGUUUCCAGUGACCUACUUCCUUAUGGAGGUUCAUGAACUUAAUAUUCUAAAAUAGUGCCACCAUUUUAAAAUCCCAAAUGGAUACAUACAUACAUAUUUGUAGUCAAGUUACAUCUAUGACUUAUUUUAGAGGGCUAUCCAUCAUUUAAAAAUUGCUAGUAUUUGUUGUGUGUAUGCGUGGAUGUUUGCAUCUGUGUGGGUUCAUUUUUACACAUGUGUAUGAGGUUCAAGGUUGAUGAUAUCAGGAGCUAUCCUUGAUGAUUCUCUACCUGAAUUUUUGAGGUUGGAAAAAGAGAAACCCUAGAAAUCUUCAAAAUAUUCUUUUGGAGGAAUUAAACUACUGUUUUUUUUGUUUGUUUGUUUGCUUGCUUGCUUGUUUUAAUGCCCUAAUAGAAAACAAUAUUGUAUUUAUCUACUAUUCCUUAAUAAUUUGAGGAAAAAUGUGUUAAUGACUGCCCUAGUUUCCUUUCUGUUGUGAGAAAUACCAUAACCAAAAGCAACAUGAGGAGGAAAGAUUGAUUUGGAUUAUUCCUGAUCAUGGUUGAUCAUUGAAGGAAGUCAGAACAGAAACUCAGACGCAGAGGCAGGAACCAUGAUGGAAAGCAGUCUGCCUGGCUUGCUCUGCCUGGCUCGCUCAACUUUCUUUCUUAGCCACCUGUCCAGGGGUAAGUGGAUGGGCCCUUCCACAGCCUCUUUAACCAAGGAAAUGUACCCAAACCCCACAACACCUAACAAAAAAGCCAUGCCAUGGUUCUCACAGCUUUAAUUUUGGGGUUCAGAAGGCAAAGCAGGUGGAUCUCUAUGAGUUCCAGGCUAGCUAAGGCCUGUCUCAAAAAACCCAGACU
rnacentral:lncRNA from 1 species